rnacentral:rRNA from 1 species
UACGGGGGGGGCAAGCGUUGUUCGGAAUUACUGGGCGUAAAGGGCUCGUAGGUGGCCAACUAAGUCAUACGUGAAAUCCCUCGGCUUAACCGGGGAACUGCGCCUGAUACUGGUUGGCUUGAGUUUGGGAGAGGGACGCGGAAUUCCAGGUGUAGCGGUGAAAUGCGUAGAUAUCUGGAAGAACACCAGUGGCGAAGGCGGCGUCCUGGACCAAUACUGACACUGAGGAGCGAAAGCCAGGGGAGCAAACGGG